ACCCACAGCCACAUCCUCCACUACAGAAGUCCUGGUGGCACAGCCCCUCACCAUGGACUGGAGCUGGAGAGCCUUCUUCCUGGUGGCAGUGGCUACAGCUGUCCAUUCAGAGGUGA